CCUACGGGAGGCAGCAGUGAGGAAUAUUGGUCAAUGGACGAGAGUCUGAACCAGCCAAGUAGCGUGAAGGAUGACUGCCCUAUGGGUUGUAAACUUCUUUUAUAUGGGAAUAAAACGUUCCACGUGUGGGAUUUUGUAUGUACCAUAUGAAUAAGGAUCGGCUAACUCCGUGCCAGCAGCCGCGGUAAUACGGAGGAUCCGAGCGUUAUCCGGAUUUAUUGGGUUUAAAGGGAUCGGAGGGGGAUUGUUAAGUCAGUUGUGAAAGUUUGCGGCGCAACCGUAAAAUUGCAGUUGAAACUGACAGUCUUGAGUACAGUAGAGGUGGGCGGAAUUCGUGGUGUAGCGGUGAAAUGCUUAGAUAUCACGAAGAACUCCGAUUGCGAAGGCAGUUCACUGGACUGCAACUGACACUGAGGCUCGAAAGUGUGGGUAUCAAACAGGAUUAGAUACCCGUGUAGUC
rnacentral:rRNA from 1 species